rnacentral:rRNA from 1 species
UACGAAGGGAGCUAGCGUUGUUCGGAAUUACUGGGCGUAAAGCGCACGUAGGCGGAUCGUUAAGUCGGGGGUGAAAUCCCAGGGCUCAACCCUGGAACUGCCUUCGAUACUGGCGAUCUUCGAGUCCGGGAGAGGUGAGUGGAACUCCGAGUGUAGAGGUGAAAUUCGUAGAUAUUCGGAAGAACACCAGUGGCGAAGGCGGCUCACUGGCCCGGUACUGACGCUGAGGUGCGAAAGCGUGGGGAGCAAACAGG